ACUCCUACGGGAGGCAGCAGUAGGGAAUUUUCCGCAAUGGGACGAAAGUCUGACGGAGUAAUGCCGCGUGAGUGAUGAAAGGUUUUCGAAUUGUAAAGCUCUGUUGUAAGGGAAGAAUAGCAAGAAUAGGAAAUGAUUCUUUGUCUGACGGUACCUUACCAGAAAGCCACGGCUAACUACGUGCCAGCAGCCGCGGUAAUACGUAGGUGGCAAGCGUUAUCCGGAAUUAUUGGGCGUAAAGCGCAUGUAGGCGGCUUUUUAAGUCUGAUGUGAAAGCCAGUGGCUCAACCACUGAAUUGCAUUGGAUACUGGAAAGCUAGAAUCUUGGAGGAGGUAAGUGGAAUUUCAUGUGUAGCGGUGGAAUGCGUAGAUAUAUGAAGGAACACCAAUGGCGAAGGCAGCUUACUGGACAAGUAUUGACGCUGAGAUGCGAAAGUGUGGUAGCAAACAGGAUUAGAUACCCUGGUAGGCUCUG
rnacentral:rRNA from 1 species